AUAAAUAUGUCUCGCACCAGUAAAAUUCUGAGCGUGAGGGGGUUGUGUUGAAUCCCACAUCAGUUGUGGAAAGGGGUAAUGUGCCCCUUAUAUGGGCCAUAGGCACUCCUCCCCUUGAGCUAGCUUUUGGGGUGAGUUAGGCCUGGUCCAAAUUUAACAAAGGUUGAUAGAGUGUUCCCAGUGGAUGAGGCUCUUUGCUUUGCCAAGGUUGGGAGAGAAUUAUCUCUAUUGAAUGCAAACAUCUAUUAGGGUUUUAUCCCUAACAGGAGAUUGCACUCAGUAUAAGAAGAUUAGAGAAGAAAGAGAAGAAUUGAGAGAGAUUAGAGAUAGAAUUUAGGAAGAAGAGAGGAGAAAAUGAGAGAUUUAGGAGAGAGAAAGAGGAGAUAUUAUUUGGAUUCUUGAAUGCCUUUACUAGUGAGUCUCUUUACAAUUUAUAGUAGUACUCAUCUUAUUGUAACAGACUCUAACAACCUUGAGAUCCUUCCCUCCAAAACCAAUUGGCACAACUGAAACUCCCUCCAAAAGUAACUAAUAACGGCUUUAUCUUUAUUGUUAUAUCUCUUCCUAUAAUACGUGACAAUAACCUCUCCAUGGUCACUUUCUUGACCCCAAGAAGGUGCAAAUUUUGGAAAUUUCUUUAGAGAUGUAGGCUAUUGGGUGCAUGGUUUUAUAUCGCGGUCGCGAGUAAUGGAAACAGGUUUGUAACGGCUGAACGUAAUGGUAAUGGCUUGGUGCUAUGCAAAUUUUUCAAAAAAAUUUGUAAAGUUCAUAAAAUGAAAUAAUAUUGAUUAGAUUUAAUUUAGAACAAUGUAUACAAAUGCAUAAUAAAUGUAAAUACAUCAAAUAUAGAUUAUUUAACUAAAGUUAAAGAGCAUUUAGUUUAAAAUAAGAGAAACCAACAUAAUCUUUAUAGAUCGAGUAAACUAAUAGCUUAAAAUACAAUUUAAACUCAAAACUAACACUUUAAUCCACAAAAAAUUUAGGAAAAAAAUAGCUACUGUAUAAAAAAUUUAAUAACUUUUUAGAGGAAAUAAGCUUGGAAAUGCAUUAGUUUAUGAGGAUCAAACUUAUAUGAGAAUAUGUAGUGAAGAUUGAAAUUUGAAAGAGAAAUGGAAGGAAAAACUUAAAAAAAUAUUGCCUUUGAAGCUACUGAAAAGUGUGGAAACUGAUAAAAAUGAGAAUAGGGGUAGAAGAUGAGAGAUAUAAAAGAAUUUCAAUUAUUGGUAACGGCCGUACCAUUACUUUUCGGUGGGUAACGGCCGUUGCCGUUACCAUUACUUCAUGGUCGAUAACGGUCAUUGCCAUUACUAUUACGUAACGACUGUAACGGCCGUUAUGCCGCAGCUCAAGGGGCUGCUGUAUAACAGGGUAAUGGGUAACGACCCUCCCAAAACCCAUACUGUUAUGUAAUGUAAUGACUGUUUUUUAAAACCAUGAUUAGGUGUCCUUUUUGCUGCAGAACUGCCCCUAUUCCCCACCCACUAGCAUCUAUUUCUAUAGUGAAGGGAUGAGCAAAAAAUCUGGCAUGGCUAGGACAGGGUGCUGCCAUUACUCUCUUAGUUCACAGAAUGCCUCUUGAGCCUUGUCAUUCCACAAAAAAAAAAUCUUUCUUAAGCAGAUUAGUUAAAGGAUUGCUAAUAACCCCAUAAUUCCUCACAAAUUUCCUGUAGUAUCCCAUUAGCCCUAGGAAACUCCUUAUUUGCUUCAGAUGCCAAGUCACCAUUGCCUGGCCCUUUUUGGGGUUUGUUGCUCUCCUUUCCCUGAUAUGAGAUGACCCAAAUAUCUCUAGAGGACCUUUCGUUGGCUGCUUCGAGGUUACUUAGCUUAUCCUUAACCUUUGAUGUGUUCCUCUGGAAAUGUUCCCGAAGGAUUCUCACUUGUUCUUCCAUUUUUGCAACCUUCACCUUUUCUGGACUUACAAUCACUGAUCAAUGGAACUCACUAGACUAGUUUGCUUCUUGUUCCCACGCGAAACCUUGCUCUGAUACAAUUGUUAGGGUUUUAUCCCUAAUAGGAGAUUGCACUCUAUAGAAGAAGAUUAGAGAAGAAGAAAGAGAAGAAUUGAUUGAGAUUAGAGAUAGAAUUUAGGAAGAAGAGAGGAGAGAAUGAGAGAUUUAGGAGAGAGAAAGAGGAGAUAUUAUUUGGAUUCUUGAAUGCCUUUACUCGUGAGUCAUCUUAUUGUAACAGACUCUAUCAACCUUGAGAUCCUUCCCUCCAAAACCAGCUGGCAGAACUGAAACUCCCUAUACAACUAACUGAUAACAGCUUUAUCUUUAUUCUUAUAUCUCUUCCUAUAAUAUGUGACACCAUCCCUAUGCUUCUUUGCAGAUCGUCUAUGUCCACUGUUUGGAUCAUGGUUUUUCAGCCACAAUUGAAAAGUAGCAAUCCAACUGUUGUGGUGUUCCCCCAAGGCUUGCCCUCAUUGUGAUAAUUGAUCUGCUGUUAAAAUAAUGAUGAUAUUUCAUUGUUUUUAAUCAUUGAAUCCACAUGACAGUAUUUUUUGGUCUGAAUGAUGGUCUUGUCAUGCAAAAAACAAUUAUUUAU
rnacentral:lncRNA from 1 species